rnacentral:rRNA from 1 species
GACGAACGCUGGCGGCGUGCUUAACACAUGCAAGUCGAACGGAAAGGCCCUGCUUGCGGGGUACUCGAGUGGCGAACGGGUGAGUAACACGUGGGUGAUCUGCCCUGCACUUCGGGAUAAGCCUGGGAAACUGGGUCUAAUACCGGAUAGGAGCCAUUUUUAGUGUGAUGGUUGGAAAGUUUUUUCGGUGUAGGAUGAGCUCGCGGCCUAUCAGCUUGUUGGUGGGGUAAUGGCCUACCAAGGCGGCGACGGGUAGCCGGCCUGAGAGGGUGGACGGCCACAUUGGGACUGAGAUACGGCCCAGACUCCUACGGGAGGCAGCAGUGGGGAAUAUUGCACAAUGGGCGCAAGCCUGAUGCAGCGACGCCGCGUGGGGGAUGACGGCCUUCGGGUUGGAAACUCCUUUCGCUAGGGACGAAGCUUUUUGUGACGGUACCUAGAUAAGAAGCACCGGCUAACUACGUG